UUUUUUAUGUGGCCACAGGAAAUACAGUAAGUCUCUGCGUUAGGAACGUCAGACUUGUGGACACCUUGUUCAAAAAAAAAAAACCCAAACCCAGUGCCAUCGAGUGGAUUCCAACUCAUAGCGACCCUGUAGAACAGGGUGGAACUGCCCCAUAGAGUUUCCAAGGAGCGCCUGGCGGAUUUGAACUGCCGACCUUUGUGGUUAGCAGCCGUGGCACUUAACCCCUAUGCCGCCAGGGUUUCCGGACACCUUGUACUUGCCCUUUAAUGCUAAGUAAAUUUGCCCUCACUUUGACCGGAUUGAACCAACCCACUACUCACAGCACAUUCUCCAUCGUAAUCACCUUCGCUUGCUGCACGUGCAGCUUUUAGUCAUUGAAACGGCCUUGAGCCUUUUCUUGCACUAAAGCAGGGCAUUGAACCGGAACCGGUUAGAACCCCUGCUGAGAAUUGGCUUUUCCACCCUAGAUAUACUGAAUCAGAAUCUACCUUUUUUUUUUUCAUGUAAAAAGACUUAAUGGUCUGACAGACUGGAGGAACCCCCGAAACUCUGGCCCCGGGACACCCUAUUAACCCAGAACUGAAACCAUUCCUGAAGGCCACUCUUUGGACAAAGACAGGACUGUAAGAGGAGGAAUGAUACACGUGAGGCACGUGCUUCUGAGUAGCUCCUGUCUGAAGGCAGGAAGAGAGGGCAGGAAGGGACAGGAACUGGUCAAAUGGACACGGGACAGGUUGGAAGGGGGAGGCGUGCUGUAUAUGCAUAUAAAUUUUUGAAUGAGAAAUUAACUGGAGCUGUGAACUUUCACCUAACGCACAAUUUUAAAAAAAAGAAAGAAAAUGACGCAUUGACUGCCAGAAAUUGGGAAAUUAGAAGUUCAACGAACCAAAGUCAAGUUUCUAAAUAAUUUGAUGUUCAGUGUCAGGUCGCACUUCCUCAAGCAUUAAUAAAAUAAUAAUACUGCUUUUUGCACUGGGGGACUCCAGGAAAACCCGUGAGUGAGGCGGUGAUGCCUAGCACAGCCAGGAAACCAUUCUUCUCCUGGGAGUAGAUAGACAGUGGACUGUGCUUUGCUCUUAAGUGAGGCCCACAAGACCUGUGUGUCUUCUGAAAGGGGGUCUAUGAACUUGCUCUGAGGGGGAGCACAUGUAUCUUCUGCCUCAAGUAGAUGCUUGAAAGCCUCUUGAAAAAUCCUGCUUGCUCUGUUUAUGGGCCACUGAAGUUUGGAAAAAAAGAAUCUACAUUUUAACAAGAUUCCCAGGUGUUAAAAUGUAGAUUCUGAUUCAGCAUAUCUGGAGUGGAAAUGAAAAAUCUCAGCAGAGGUUCAAACCGGUUCCAGCUUGAAGUAAGGUACUAAAGGAAGACACCGUCUGCACCUGUUCUGACUUACCUACAAAUUUAACUUAAAGACACAGUUAGGGACUGCCUGUAGUUUAUAAACACUUAAUUCACCAGGCAUGGCUUUUAGCCCGGACUAGAUGCUUUUAGUUGUCUAUGGAGCAAUCAGAGUGUCUAGGACGUUGGAAUAUUGGACUUUUAUGCCAAGAUGGAACUUGUUUAGUCCACAUUAAAGAUUUGGAGCCCCAGGAUUUGAACUGGCAUAAUGAAAUUUCUUCAACCUAAAAUCUUCCUUUGUGCACAGUUGAAAUACAUAUCCUUUCCAAAUCUGAGAGAUAGCAGAGAAAUCUUACUUUUCACAUCUGUCUGUUUACUCUUUUCAUUGCAUCCUCUUUCUCUUACUUUGUGUCAUAACAUUAAAAUUCUGAGGAUUCAGACUUGACUGGGUUUCACAGUCUGUUAGUGAAGUAACACAUGUACAGCAGACUUGGUAUUCGGACCUCAGCUCAGUGGUUAUGGUUUUUAUGUCUAGCAUCAGGUCCUAAGGAGCAUUUAGGGGAACCUCUGUUACUAGCAUAUUCCAGGUAACCCACAUUGGGCUUUAGUAUUUUCUGAGUAUAUGCUUUUCAACAGCUCGUUCUCUUGAUCAGACCUUCUUUCCGAAGUCCUCUUGUUUGAGUUUUCUAAUCUAUGAAAUAUGCACUGGAUAGGACAAAUAGGCACAGAGGUUCAACAGGUUCUCAAUUUAAGAGAAAUAAAACACCACUUUCAAGGAGUACCUAUUUACUCUGUUUACAAGGAAUUACUGCUUGGGUUAAUAUUGAAUGGAAACCUUUCAUGAAAUUAGCAGCGUUACCUAUGAAGAUUUUCACGUUUUCUUUUAUGUUCUUGAAUUCAUGCUUUUAACUACUUGUUCUCAUUAGGUUGUUUCUACGUGCAAAGGUGUGGUUUCUAGCAUCGUCUGACAACUUUUCCCGUGACCCACAUGGCUCAGCUUUCCUACCUUCCUGAAAUACCUGUAGAGUCAGAAUGCCAUGGACUUGCUCCUGAGAAUUGUGCCUUUCCCCAUGAGAGAAAUUAAAAAUACCAGAUGUUGACAGCUAUGUCUUUUAUAGCCAGGCCUCGGGAAUCAGUGACCUUCAAAGAUGUGGCUGUGUACUUUACCCAGAAGGAAUGGGCCAGCCUGGUACCUGCUCAGAAGGCCUUGUACAGAGAUGUGAUGCUGGAGAACUAUGAGGCUGUGGCCUUCCUAGCAGUGUCACCGGCUUCCAAACCAGCUCUGAUCUCUCAGCUGGAGGAAGGGAAAGAGCCGUGGUUCAGUCAGGCACAGGGAGCCCUAAGCAGGAGGGGCAGGAGAGCAGGCCUCACAGGUUAUAAAGUCAGGGCUGGAAAUGAGCUUUCAGCUUCCAAUCAAGACAUUUCUGAGAAUAGCAAAUCCCUUGGCUUGGCUUCAGAGGAAUAUCUAAGAGACCUUUCCCAGAGACACAAUUUUCAAGGCACUUCUGAAUCAGAGAGCAAAAUAGAAAGGAAUUCAGGAAAUCCUGUGGGAGCUACACUGACGAAAAAUAAGACAGAUUCAGUGAAGGAGAGAGUAAAUGAUGAGAAAAUUCAUAAAGAAAAUAGAUGUCGUCCACACAAGAAAUCAGAGAAAAAUAUUGAUGUCAGUUCUUAUCAUGUAACACAUGUGCAAUUUCCAGGUGAAGAGAUUGCCAACAAUUGUGAUAUGCAUGGCAAACAUUUCAGUAGCAAUUCAGACUUUUCUCGACACCGCAGAAUCCACACUGGAGAAAAGCGCUAUGAGUGUAAGGAUUGUGGCAAAGCCUUUACCUUGAACUCCACUUUUGUUCAGCACCAAAGGAUCCAUACGGGAGAGCGACCCUACAUGUGCAAAGAAUGUGGCAAGGCCUUUAGCUGCAGCUCCUACCUCACUGCACACCGCCGAGUCCACACUGGAGAGAAACCUUUCAAAUGCAAGGACUGCAGCAAGGCUUUUAGUCAGAAAAUUACCGUCAUUCGGCAUCAGAGGACACACACUGGAGAGAAACCCUACGCGUGUAAGGAAUGUGGUGAAGCUUUCAAGCUGAACUCGCAGCUCACUUACCACCAGAUGCUACAUACUGGGGAAAGUCCCUACCAAUGUAAGGAGUGUGGGAAGGGUUUCACUUGGCACUCACAGCUCCUCCGGCACCAGAAAAUUCACUCUGGAGAGAAAGCCUAUCAAUGUAAGGAGUGUGGGAAGGCCUUCAAGCAGAAAGCCAGGUUGAAUCAACAUCAACGGGUCCACCCUUGUUGGAAAGCCCGUGAAUGUAAAGACUGCGGGAAGGUCUUUAACAAGAUUUCAGGACUGAAGCGGCACCAGAGGCUCCAUGCUAGAGAAAAAGAUUGUAGGAAAAUCUUCGUUCAGAGCUCAAAUUUUAUUCGCCAUCAGAGAACUGAUCCCGGAGAGAAACGUUCAAAUGUAAUUGUUCGUCUGUGUGUCCCCCAGGUGCAAGUUAGCAGGCCCAUCCCUCCUUGGCCUGAUUCUCCCAAUACAGCUGUACCUCCUGCCCCUCCCCAGAGUGCUCACUUUGCUCCUGCUGGUCCUCUUUGCUCACUGUCUACACCACAGGCUAGUUCACUUCCUACCUCUGAACCUUUGCUUUUUCUGCUCCCCCAGAUGCCCUCUCCUCUUCUCUCCCCCUUCCUCUGAUCCUGUCUUGCCUUAAAGCCUUUCGAAGCUUGCCUCCAUGAUGGUACCUUUCUCAUUAUGCUUCCUUCAUCCCUGAAUAUUUUCUUAAAGGCAGCGUUAUUCUAUUUACAACUCAUUUAAAUCCUGGAUUUUUUUUAUAUAUAUAUUUUUUUCUCUCUACUUGACCCAAAGUCAUUUCUAACUCUGCAUUUGCAAGCUUCUCCAGAGCAGGAUAGGUCGGGAGGGUGGAGUAUCCCCAAUGGAUAGAAAUAAGGAAAAAAACGGUUGCGUGUUCUCUCAACUUCUAUUGACGUAACUGUUAUUUACUAUUGAUUAGGAGCCUGCUUUGUUUGAUUUGCUGUCUACUGUUGGUGUAACAAGGAGCUCUGGUGGUGCAGGGGUGAAGCACUUAGCUGCUCACUGAAAGGUCAGCCACUUGGACCCACCAGAUACUUCCCAGGAGAACGAUGUGGCAGUCCCCUCCCUUAAAGAUAAUGUUGGAAACCCUGUGGGUCAGUUCUGCUCUGUCGUCUAGGGUCACUGUGAGUUGGGAUCAACUCGAUGACAACAGGUUAUCGGUAUAACUCUGUUAAGUUACAUCUUAACUUUGCGAUUUUUCUCCUUUAAAGAUGCAAAUGAUUCCUGAACGGGUAGUAAAGGUAGCCACAAAGAUUAUGGUUUUAUUGACCUGGAAGAAAUUAACUAGUUUUUUUUUUCUAACUUAAAACAACAAAGGGAUAACUUAUUUCGGUAUUCUUUCCUGACCUGCCUGUUCCUUAAAUGUUCCUUGAACCAGCUUUAUUUACCAUGUUGCUCUUUCCUCAUUAAGGAGUUAAGUGAAAUUUUGACAUGUAUCAUUCUGUUUGUAUUUAAAUACAAAAAAGGGUCAUAUUUUUAAGUUUUUGAAAAUUACACCUUGACAAUUUUGGAUGUGGCUGCACUGAGAUGGCCACGUAGGCUCACCUGCCAGAGACAAACUGUCGCUGUUCCUCCCUCAUAUACUAUUUAAACCCGGGCGUGUCUUUUCUUGGCUCCUGAAGAAAAUCCCAAGUCACACAAGAACUCUAUCUUUGUUGACUCCCUGUUUUUCUGCCAUUUUUUCUUUUCAUUUUAUUUUUAUUUUGUUGCUGGCUCUUGGUCACAGCAAUACCUCAUUCUGUGCAUGGCCAACACCUUUAUUAUAGCCCAGUGAGAGACUCUGAAGUGAAGACCCAGUCCAUGCUUGGACUCCUGACGCACAGAGACUGUGAGUAUUCAGUGGGGCCGUGACUCAAACUGAGGAGUAACUAGUAUAGUCAGAAAAGAAUACAAUGACUAUUGAAACUGCUUCUCAUUUUGGAGAAAAGGUGAGAGCUUCUUGUAAUCAGUAUUAAAGGGGAAACAGGCUUUGUGAAGCUGAACGUGAGUGCCCUCAUGCAGUCUGCUAGUUCACUACAGUUUGCUAAGUCAUCUAUAUUAAGUCCCUGGCAUGUAGCCACUAUUGUCUACCACCACUAUAAACAUUUACAACCUUUGAUAUGCAGAUGACACAGCCUUGCUUGCUGAAAGCCAAGAGUACUUGAAGCACUUAACUGAUGAAGAUCAAAGACUAUAGCCUUCGGUAAUGAGUAUAUCUCAAUGUAAAAUAAAAAUCCUCACAACUGGACCAAUAAGCAACAUCAUGAUAAAAAACCCGAAAACCAAACCCACUGCGGUAGAGUGGAUUCCGACUCAUAGCGACCCUAUACAUGGAGAAAAGAAGUUGUCAAGGAUUUCGUUUUACUUGGAUCCACAGUCAACACCCAUGGAAGCAGCAGUCGGGAAAUCAAACAACGUAUUACAUUGGGCAAAUCUGCUGCAAAAGACUCUUUAAAGUUAAAAAGCAAAGAUGUCAGUUUGAGGACUGAGGUGCACCUGACCCAAGCCGUGGUAUUUUCAAUCACCUCAUAUGCAUGUGAAAACUGGACAAUGAAUAAGGAAGACCAAAGAAGGAUUGAUGCCUUUGAAUUAUGGUGUUGGCAAAGAAUAUUGAAUAUAUCAUAGAUUGUCAGAAGAAUGAACAAAUCUGUCUUGGAAGAAGUACAGUCAGAAUGCUCAUUAGAAUCAAAGAUGGUAGGACUUUGUCUCACAUGCUUUGGCCGUAUCAGAAGGGACCAAUCCCUGGAGAUGGACAUCAUGUUUGGUAACGCAGAGGGUCAGCGAAAAAGAGGAAGACUCUUAACGAGAUGGAUUGACUCAGUGGCUGCAACAAUGGGCGCAAACAGCAAUGAUUGUGAGGAUGGCGCAGGACUGGGCAGUGGUUUGUUGUACUUGGGGUUGCUAUGAAUCGGAACUGACUCAACAGCACCUAACAACAAAUAACAAUAAGCUUUGUCAAAAGAGGUAGCUGGAGAGAAAUUUCAGGAGUUGGGGGAUUCUCCUUCAUGUUUCCAGUGGCUUAUUUGCCAGGCUACUAGAGUGUGCUUUUUAAUCCACUGUCCCUUUUCUCCCAUGCUAGGUACCUGGAGAGCACAGCUUUCUCCAAUGUUUGGACACAGUCUGUUUACUUCAGUUUUUGCCUGAGGCGGUGGCAGAUGGCUGGGAGACCCAGACAGUAUAGGCCUGUGUCACAGCUCAGAUUGCUGAACUGUGUUACAGGGCUGAGUGACACUCCUAUCAGGAAAUUCCAAGGUUACAUCUCUGGAACCAGGACAAAGGCCAGACUUCUCUUUGGAGUCCAGAUUUCCUUACUACACAGUUGGCUUGUGUUUUCUUACUAUUGAGUUUUGAGAGUUCUUUAUAUAUUCUGGAUAGGAAUUGUUUAUCAGAUAUAUGAUUUACAAAUGUUUUCUCCUAGUCUGUGUCUUGUUUUUUUACUGUCUUAGUGUUUUGAAAAGCAGAAGUUCUUAAUUUUGUUGAAGUCCGAAAUAAUCUUUUUUUUCCUUUUAUGGAUUGUGCUUUCCGUGUUGUUUCUAAGAAAUCUUUGCUUACCCUAAGGUCACAAAGAUUUUCUCCUGUUUUCUUUAAAAAAAUUUUUUUUUGUGAAAACAUACACCCAUUCGAGAAUUUCUACAUCUACAGUUCAAUGACAUUGGUUAUAUUCUUCACAUUGUGUCACCAUUCUCACUGUCUCAACUCAUAUUGUUUUACCACCGUUAGACUCUCUGCCCGUUCAAGUUCUCAUCUGUGUUUUAGAGCUCCUGUUGUCUGUUUGAUCUCAUAUAGAUAAUUAUUUAAAAGAGCACAAUGUUCAAGGCAGAUUUUCCUGUUUCCUUCUAAGUUUCGUAGUUUUAGGUUUUACAUUAAGCCUGUGAUCCUGUAGAGUUAAUUUUUGUCCAUGGUACAAGGUGUGGCUUGAAGUUUUUUUUUUUUUGCAUAAUAGAUAUUCAGCUGUUGAAGCACCAUUUGUUGAAAAGAUUAUGCCUUUUCUAUUGAGUUUCCUCUGCAAAUUUGUCAAAAAUCAGUUGGUAGUGUAUGUGAGUCUGUUUUUAGAACUGUAUUCUGUUACAUUGAUCUAUAUAUGUAUACUCUCUCCAAUACCACAUUGUCCUGACUACUGUAGCUUUAUAGUAAAUUCAUAAAUCAUAUAUUUGAAUCCUCCAACUUUGUUCUUUUUCAAAGUGAUUUGGCUAUUUUCAUUUCACUUUUCAAAUGUAGAAUCAUCUUGUUUCCUGACUUGCAGCUAGGAUAUGUCACUGAUUGUUACUUAUUACCUAUGCAUUCAAUUCUCCUUCCACAGAAAUUGCUAAAUUUCUCGGUUGCCCCAUAGGGAGGUGUCUUGGUUAUCUAGUGCUGCUGUAACAGAAAUGUAACAAAUGGAUGGCUUUAACAAAGAGAAAUUUAUUUCCUCACAGUAAAGUAGGUUAGAAAUGCAAAUUCAGGGCUUAACUUAAGGGGAAGGCUUUCUCUGUAGGCUCUGGAGGAAGGUCCUUGUCCUCAAUCUUCCCCUGGUCAAGGAGCUUCUCAGGCGCAGGGACCCCUGGUCCAAAGGAUGCGCUCUGUUCCUGGUGCUGCUUUCUUGGUGGUAUGAGGUCCCCAACUCUCUGCUUGAUUCCCUUUCCUUUUAUCUCUUGUAAAAGGUGGUGCAGGGAAACUCCGUUUACAUUGGGUCAGGCAUGUGACCUUAGUAAGGGUGUUACAAACCAAAAAAACCGAACCCGCUGGGUGUUACAAUCCCACCCUAAUUCUCUUUAACAUAAAGUUACAAUCACAAAAUGGAGGACAACCACACAAUACUGGGAAUCAUGGCCCAGCCAAAUUGGUACACACAUUUUUGGGGGGACAUAAUUCAAUCCAUGACAGGAGGUUUGACCGUGUGACUCACUGUGAUGAAGUGGUGUGUGCAAGUCUCUGGCCAUGCACUUGAACGCAUUCCACCCUUAGAUCUAGGAAAGCGAGGUCUUGCCCCAGGCGAAGUGCCUCAGGCGUUCCUGUAUUUGGAGUGCCACACAUUUUUUAAAUCCUCCACUAUUGCCUGGGAGUGGCUGGGCCCAGCAGUGUUGUCCUGUGGUGUGCUCCAAGGGCAGACUGGGACCUAUGUUUCUCCCCUUAGAGGUAUUCCCUGACCCUUCACCCAGUGUGUGGGUCGACUAGGUGCACUGAGUUGCUCCAUAACUCAUACCUGUAGAGUUGCUCAGGGCCCUGUGGCUGGGCCUCGGUUCCAGGAGAGCAGCCAUCAUUGUAUUUCUCUCACAGGAUCACAUGGGGUUGGGCCAACAGAAUGGCAUUGACACUGGUUUUGGGUGACUCUCAUGUCAGGCACAGGAUGAGUUCAGGGAUCUGGGCUACUAUGGGUGCAUUGCUGACCCUUGGGCAUGAGCUGCAUGUGUGGGCCCAUGUGUCAGCUCCUUCCCAUCUGUGUUCCAACUGCAAUACUGCCUCUGGGCUACACACCUCAGGACAUAGAGGUGGUGGUGUCCUUUAUCACUUUGCCCCCGUUGUUGGCAUUUAGGGUGGGCAGCCUGCCUCCUACACAGUCUCUGGUACCACAUGUCAGGUGGUUCCCUGGGGGUGGCCACAACUGUCUCCUCUGAGGCCUUUCAACAGGCUUUUCUGAUAGAUGUCCUCUCCUACGAUUGAUGCCAGGACACUAUGUUCUCUCUCCUGAGUCAGUCUUAAGCUGUGCUGGAUGAGGGAUGGACAUUUCUUGGGUGAACUGGGCUGCUUUUCUAACUCUGCCCAUGGGCCCCUUGCUUAUGGUGGGGGUGUAUGAACGGGAGAGUUGUGAUCAAUAUUUAAAGACAUGACAUUCUAGGAAUACAGUGAUUACAGCCUAAAGAGCUCAAGAUAUGUCAUGGUUGUAAAAUGUGUUGUUCCAUGAUUACACUAUAAAAUUCCAAACGGUAAGGUUAAUAUGACCAGGAAACUGAUUGCCAUUUAUAUUUUCCUGUGUAUUCUGGGUAAGACUUGUAUUUAUAGUAAUUACCAAUGAAACACAGUAACAAGCUUUGAAAAUGUCAUUGGAAGCCAUGAUAAGGUAAUACCCCAGGUAAUGAUGUAACCAGCAUUUAAUAAAUGGUACUAGGGAACUGCAAAUCUAUGGGAAAUUGACGGCGGUGGACUAGGGACCUGCAGAUGCGAAAAGAUCUAUACAAACAGGUUUCAAUACAAACAGGUUCUGCAGGGCACUGUCAGGCUUACUGCCCUUUUCCUGUGAUGGGAUAUAUGAAAUUAGCCAGCUUUGACCACAAAGAAACUUCCUGGGGAUGAACAAGAACAAGUGGUACCUGGAUGCUAUGAGGAAUCUCCAUGUGCACUGAUUGGACAAUAACUAUUAAGUACCUCUUCUUAACCAUUAUUCUAAAUCUUCAUUGAAAAAUCAUUCUACCUUACAUGGGACCAUGAAUUUUGUAAUAUGUUGUUUAAUUAAAUUGUUUAUAGAGACAGGGAUCCUCUAAAAAAUAUUUCCCCCAGAUUCUCAUACAACCUGUGGGUGCUCUCCACUUGUCUCCCCGUAACUCCUUUCACUUGAGCUGGAAUGAGGAAGUGGUAGUGAGUCAUCCUGGACCAGGUAGAUGAGAUAGCACCUUCAUGGUGAAGCAACAGGACCAAAGGAGCCGAUGUUCCUGGAUGACUUCAUGGAGCAGAGCUCCCUACCAGUCCUACACUACCUGCCUUCAUACUGUUAAGCAAAAGGUAAAUAACUUUCUUCUUUAAGUCAUUAAUAGACACUAUUCUGGCAAGUGAGAUAUGAGUAGAAAACUGUUCGAGGGUAGUGAUGGCUAAAACGUGACUUUUCUGGUAAAAUGUGCAGGAUAUAGUGCCAGAUAUUCCUCUUUCUUCCUGUCUGGAGUAAAGAUGUGCUGUCUGAAGCUGUACCAGUUGUCUUGGAACAAUGAGGGAGUGGCCAAGAGCGUCUCACAGGCGCUGGCCCAAGCAUUAAGCCACCCACACAACACCAGCUACUGCCUACAUCCAAGCUUCUUGUUAAUGUGAAAAAACAAACCAGUUUAAGUGAGUGUUUUACUGGAUUGUGUGUGUGUAUUGUGGAUAAAGGCAUUUCUAAGUGCGGCAGGAGGCUUAUUUUAUAUUUUAAUAUCUCUGUAAUAUGAGAAAUAUUGAAUAUAAGUGACUGAUUUUCAGGGGUAUAUGUGGUGUUUCUUGUAUCUAAAAGCUUUACUGUGUUGUGAGGCUGUUUUUUAAUCAUUUGAUUUGUUACAAUGAGCAACCUUUGUAACUUAAAAAAAAUAAUAAUAAUAAAAAGCUUAAACAUGUGUACCCUUAAAGCUUGAUAUAAAAUCCUUAUGUUUAUAGGUAUUACACUCUUAUAACCAAAACUUCAAAAUCAAUGAUAUUCAAAUUGCAUUAAUUUAAUGUUAAGGACAGUAAUAUUUUGCUGAAACUAAA